UAUUAAGUCGCUUGUUCGACCAUUGUCAUUGCGUGGCAAUGUAAGUAACUGGUGUAAAGUUGUAAUGUUAUUGUUUGAAUGUAUAUUUUGUUUAAAGUUUACCGUUUUGUGGCAGGUGAUAGAUGCGUACGCAGUCUUGUUGAUGGAAUAACAAGAUAGACUUGCUGUUAGAGUGGAGUUCCCGGACAAGUCAUGUUUUUAGUAGCAUAUGCCUUAAUAUGUUAAAAAACGAUAACAGUAAUGCACAGGACAAAUUCGUGCUGGACAACUUCGCGACAUGUAAAGAUUGUCGGUACGUCCACUUCCCUAUUUGUUUCCGAGCACACUGGACGUUGGUUGUUUAUGACACUAAAACGGGUGUCUGGAACCAUUACAACUCUAUGAGGCCCCGGGUUGGACUAGAAAACAAGCACCUUAAGGAGGCAGUGUUUGUGGUGAGUUAAAUGUAUCAUUAUAUGUGUGGGGUUGAUGUGUUUUUAUGUGUCUUCAUUGUGUGUGUUUGGUAAUGGUAGGGUAUUGUUUUACAGAGGGAUACUAUUAUUGAAAUCCAGCAAGGCGCAGUUGGCGUAUUGGGCGAUGACGACGCAACGCAGUUUGGUCAAUUAGGUGUGGAGGCAGUUACUGACUGCCCGCAGCAAAAACACGACUCAUACAUGGAGGACUGUGCAAUCAUUAUGUGUGUUGUGAUGCGGCAGUAUGUACAUCAUGUGGACGUGAACAGAUCGUUGCAGGGGGAUAACUGCAUCAUAUUGCGCGCCAACAUGGUUAAAGGUAUUGUGAACGACCACGGAAGGGGUCUGAAAGAUAGUGCAUGAAGUAUGGAGCUGUUUGGUUUUUGUGAUUGGGGUUGAUUUGUCGGUUGGGUUUUCUUUUGGCAGUAUGGUGGCGCUACGUUAUAUUUCACUUUUUUGUGGGGUUUUUUUUUUUUGCACAGGGAUGAACUUAUUUUGUUAAGUUUGUUAACUUUUUUUGUGAAUGUUUUGGUUGGUUUUAA